UACGUAGGUGGCUAGCGUUGUCCGGAUUUACUGGGCGUAAAGAGCGCGCAGGCGGUCGUUCAAGUCGAGUGUGAAAGCCCCCGGCUCAACUGGGGAGGUCACUCGAUACUGAUCGACUUGAAGGCGGGAGAGGGAAGCGGAAUUCCCGGUGUAGUGGUGAAAUGCGUAGAUAUCGGGAGGAACACCGAGUGGCGAAGGCGGCUU
rnacentral:rRNA from 1 species